rnacentral:rRNA from 1 species
UACGUAGGGUGCAAGCGUUGUCCGGAAUUAUUGGGCGUAAAGAGUUCGUAGGCGGUUUGUCGCGUCUGCUGUGAAAACUCGGGGCUUAACCCCGGGCCUGCAGUGGGUAUGGGCAGACUAGAGUGCGGUAGGGGAGACUGGAAUUCCGCGUGUAGCAGUGAAAUGCGUAGAGAUGCGGAGGAACACCGAUGGCGAAGGCAGCCCCCUGGGCUGACACUGACGCUCAGGCACGAAAGCGUGGGGAGCAAACAGG